AUAAUAGUAACUCUUUUUGAUUUCCUAUUAACUUGUUUUGAAGUCCUGUAGUACUCCCACGAUCUUGUUUUGACUGAUUAGACUCUGUUCCAUUCUGUAUGAUAGUAUCAAGUUUGAGGGUAUAGGCAACUACUUUGAAGGCAAUAAGAUUCACUAAGAUGCCCAUACUGGUUUGACUAUUGUCUCCUUUGGAAGUCCUGUAAUGUUAAUGCCUAAGUUUUAUUGGUCUUGUUCUCUACUGUUUUGUCCAACUUUAUAAUAUCUAAUGAGAUAGACAAUUCUUAAGGAAACAAGAGACAACGUUGAUAACCAUUGUUGAUAACCUUGUACUCUGUUCUACACCAUGUGCUAUGUCUAUCCUUGGUUUUGACUGACAGCUUUGUUUUGCCACAUUUGACUGUAUUCUCUCCCCCCCACCAAAAAGUAAUAAGAACUAAGGAGUAAUAAAAUCCAAAAUGUGUAAAUUUUGUUGUAAAAAAGAGAGGGGAAAAAAAAAAGAGCUCUAACGGAUAUAACAGCAAGUGUGUUUAGGGGUGUUAAAUAGCUGACUAUAUCAAUGUUUUUGGAUCAUUGAACGCAGCUGUUUGCAGUCUCCCUGUUUGAAUGUCCACUUUGUAUUCUUUGAUACUGUGAUUUGAGCAACUAUCCUUAAGAUGAUAAUAUGUAAUCUAUUAACAGGUGAUUUCUUACUGUUAUUUUUUUUUUUUGUAGUUCUGUAUUACGCGUACCCUUAUACCGCUUUGUUUUGUUUUGUGUUUUUCUCUUUUUCCUCUUAAAUAAAAAAAAAAAGAAAAGAAAUAAUGGUGCCUCCUUACAAUGUACUUAGCCUACAGGUCACAUAUGAAGAAGUGAAAAGGUAUCACAGGUUAUGCUAUAUAUCUCCAGCAAGGAUUUUAAAUACUCGCUUUUUAAAAAAAAAAGUUCCCUGUAUUUUUUGGAAUAAAUGACAAAUACAACUUAUUUAGUCAUCUUUAAGCUUCAAAAAUAGAUGGAGGUGUAUCUUAUGUUGUCUUUUAAUUACAAUAUGUGGAGUAUUUCUGGCUGACUGGAAUAAUUAGUUCAGAAAAACUCUCCAGAAUUCUUGCUGUAAAUAGAAGGAACCACUUCUAUGGGUAGAUUCCUGAAAGGAACCUAUAGACACUAGUGUGUGCUUGAGAAUUUCACCAAGCAUGCCAGUUCCUGUAAUGUAUCAGUAGGAUCUCUCUUGUCAUUUGUGUUUUGUACAUGCUAAAAGGAUACAGGCCUCAGAGCAGAGUAACCCCAAAUGGAGGGCCACAAACCUUUGUUCCCAAAGGAAACAACGAAUAACUCCCCACAGAAAUUACUGUAUUUCACUAGGAGUGUCCUCUAACACUGCCCACAGUGGAAAGCAUCCUCAGCCUUGCACAUGUCCUCCUGUAUCAGAAUCCCUGUGCUCUGCUGGCUGACAAUUGACCUUCUACUCUCCAGGCUCUGUAACGGGGCAUCAGCAAUGUUCAGAUGCAUCCUGACACAUCAGGAGAGUCCCAGAGAAGGAACAUGGCUAAGGGCCUCCAAAAACCAAAGCAAAAGCUCCACACAGCGAGCUGGUGGCACCAGGCCAGGUAUGGAAGACGGAGAUUGGCCCCAAUUCAAGACAAUUUGAUACAAAGAGGAAACACUUGACAUAGAAUGCUGCAUGAAGAAGGUCAUGUGGAAAUUCAAUUCUUCAGAAGCUGCCUUAUGAGGUUUUUUUUCCAAACUCCCUGAGAGGAAGAUGGGGCAUUACUGCAGUUGGAGGCAGUACUAAGGCAAUCCUUCCAUCCUGAGGAAAUGGUUUUACAAAAUCCUGAGCCAUGAGAAAUUCCUUCGCAGAAAGAUCUAGCAGUUGAAGAAGGCAGGGCUAUCUGAGAGCUCGGAUAGCCUGCAAACCUUCUCUGAGUCAAGCCAGGAACCAGGAGCAAAUGAAGACUGAUUGGGUGAGUAUGCAGCUGCCACCUGGAAGCAGCACAGCCCUGCUGAUCUUAGGAUCCUGCAAUGAGGAAGCCAACUCGUGACAGCUAAGGGGCAUCCUGUAAGGGCCUGAAAACUCGCCACAAGGGAUAGAGAUAGGAAAUAAGUGUCAUCAAGAGCCUGCAUUUGUUCACUAGUGGAUCCCUCUGUCCAGCCCACACUUACAGGAAACAUGGCUCCUCCCUGCAACUUUCUCCUACAACUUCCUGUGAUGGCGGCUCCUGGAAGCUGCUGGCCCGUUUCUGGCCCCUCUACAUCCAGGUUCUACGAUAAGUGUUAAUGGCCGGGUCUUCAGAGAAGGCAAAGAGGUCUAGCCUGGAGUUCAAGACGCUUCCAUCUAGCUAUAGGCAAUAUGUUCUCCAUAGCUAAGAUUCAUGGGAAAGGAACUAUCAUGGCGCCCAUAAUACUGAAACUCUGUCCACACGAUGGCAGUAGUAGUGCUCCACGAAGGGUCACACGGAUUGCCCGCCAGUGCUGUUCUCCCGCCCUUCCUGUCUGAAAAAAAUGGCACCAGAAAUGUGGCUACCCUUGAGUUUUACCCAGCCUGCUGGAACUUGCUCACUGGAGUGCCACUUACUUUUGGUUUCUGUCUGAAAUCAAACUGAAGUCUAAAUUUCACCCUUUAUUGCUUAUACCAAUGCUCUUCACUUAAAUUUACACCUCAAAUAUUAUUUUCAGGUUAUUAAGUUGUAUGUUUUGGGAAUGCAUUUCAAGGACUGAGGCCAAAAAUUAAGAAGACAAUUCUCAAUAAUUAAGAGCAGGAGUAUGGCAUUUCUAGGCAUCAAGCUACACAUUACUUGGCUUAUUAUUCUUAAUGACAAAAUUAUUCUGAGACUGGUUAAAAUGGUAAAAAAAAAUAUAUAUAUAUAUAUAUAUAUAUAUAUAUAUAUAUUUUCCUCAAAGUUAUUGCAAUUAGUGCCUUGUAAUAGGAAUGAAAGAAAUCAAGGUUAUCUCAACAUACAAAGACAUUUUGGGAUUUAAAAUCAAGAAACAGAGUGAGAAGGGUCAGUACAUGAUUUCCUACUAACAGAAGACUUCAAGGUUGGAGGCCUAGUCUUUCUAAACUGACCUAAGAUUGUGGUUUUCACUGGGCCAGGCCAACCAAAAAUGAGCCCCAAGAUAAGUCUCAUCCAAAAGAGGGCUCAGAAGAGUAAAGUCUGCUCAAAGAGAUUAUCAUUUUCUGGAUCUCAAAAAGCUAUUUCAUUUAUACUAUGUCAAGUGGAAAGUACUAAUUUGCUUGGAUCCCUAGUUAAAAGGCAUAGAUAUCUAGUAUCCAUGCAGAUCAUACAAUGCCUCACUUUGGGUAGUAUAUUUUUCAAAUAUGAAUAAUUCUCAAUGAUUAGUUCCUCAGAAUUUAUCCCAUGCUCCUCCUUUAAGAUGGAAACAUAAGUACUUUCUCAUGUUAUCAGUUUUCUGCUCUCUAUUGAAAAGGCUUUUGAUCUAAAUUUCAGCAGAACAUGGUAGUCACACACCUGCAGUCCCAGCUAUUCAGAAGGAUCACCAGUUAGAGGUGAGCCUGGGCAAGAGGUGGGGUGUAGCUCAGCAGAAUGUCCCAGGGUUCUUUCUUUAGCAUCAUAAAACAAAACAAUGUUUAUUUCAUUUUCUUUCAUUUUAACUGUAUUUCUUCUCAUUUGAGACAAUAUUGUUGCUUAGAAUUUCUUCAGAAGACAAGGAAAAAUUGCAUUGAAACAAAUGAGAAAUGUUACUUUAUGGGUUAGUCACAUUUAGUCUGCUACAAUAGAUCAAAGUCUAGUGUUUUUUUAAAUUUGUCAACAGCUCUUUAUGUAUAAUAUUGGCCUACUCACCUCAUCCCCUGCUACUCAAAAUAAAAUGCAAAAUAUAACAUUCUCCUUUAACGUAUCAAAAAACUCACAAAAGAUAAAUUAUCAGAGUAGAAAGUUAUGGAAACAGAGUUAAGAAAAGCACCAGUUGCUUUGGUCUUCUGAGUGGCCUACCUGGAUUUCAUUGUCACCACCCUCACAGGUGGCAAAGAGCAGAAGAUGGGAGAGGCCCGAAGGGAACUACAGUAAUGAAAUGGACCUUCUUUCAACAUGUUCCCCAAAGCAAGCACCUGUAUCACAUGGUUAUAAGUUGGUUCUAUGACCUUGCAAGCGAAAAGUAAAUCCAGUCUGAUUUUUAAAUCUUUUAGAGCAGAAAUGAAGUAGAAUUACUCCCAAACAUAGUCUGAACAAUUUUUAUAACACUGAUACCCAAUUCAAAUGUAAAUGUGACUGAAAAGAAAAUUAAGAAUCCAUUUCAUUGAGGAAGAGAUAUAAAAUAGAGAUAUAAAAUUCUACAGUAUCAGUAAAUUAAAUUCAGCCUCGUGUAAAAGAAAAUAAACUGACAUGGAGUUUGAAGGCAGAGAAAUUUAACCUUGCAAAAAAAUUAAAUUUCACUACUUUUCCCAAAAAAGAAGAAAUUUAAGACCGUAUAAAGAAGAAAUUUAAGACUCUGUAAUCUGAGGUAUUCAGGAGGCUGAAGCAAGAGGAUAUAUAAAGUUUGAGGCCAGCCUUGACAACUUAGGGAGACUCUGUCUCAAAAAUUAAAAGUUUUAAAAGGGGCUGAAAAUGUAGCUUGGUGGCCGAAUGCUUGCCUCCAAUGAAAGACUGGUGUUUAUCCCAAGACCAGAAUUAUAACUAGUGAACACUUAAUUGGCCCUGGGAAGUUUUGCUUUAUAAUUGUGCAACUUCAAUGAGAUUGAGCAGGAUACACAAUUUAUAUUCUCUACUGUCCAAUUAUUUCAAAAUGCACUGUUUCUCUGUUCAUAAAAAGCAUUACUGCUUAUGCAGAAACAGAAACAUGAAUAAAUAUGAAGCAGAGAAAUCUAGAGAAAAGAAUCCUAGGCAGUUUUUACCUCUUAGUUCAAAAGCUAUGUAAAGUUUAAAGUCCUUAAAUGAAAAUAACAAAAUUUGAGUAUUUAUCUUGAGCAUCAGGUUUGAACAGUUGAAAUAUUUACUAAUAAGCUCUCCAUUUGGAAAGACGUUUUAAAGGAUUGAUGUCAUUUUUGUUACUUUCUUAACUUUGUGAGUCAAAAAACUGGAGAGGACCCCAGGAGCCUGGACAGUCAGCUAGGUCAAGGUCCACAAGGUCUAACACCUGCAAUAGCCUCACCAGUGCUUUAAGCAUCCACACAUUUCUAUUCCCCUGCACAGAUCUCUGAGAUGUGAGCCCUGUGCUUGAUGAUGUCUGUGAGGUUGAUACAGUGUGUCAAUUUCAGAAGUUUAAAAGUUUAAUUGAGAGACUCAGCAGGGAGCAGACUUAGGGUUCUUACUUGGUAAAUAUUCUCAUUUUGUGCAAGAGGAGGGCACAGAGAUUUUGUGAUUGCUACACCUGCCCUGGUGUCCGGUGGCCUGUGUAUAAUAUAAGAGAGGGAGAGAGACUUUCUCUUCUCCCCUUUGGCUCUGGCUGCUGCCGUGAAGUGUUGCCCCAGUGCCAUGCCACCCCACCUUAGAGCCAGCUGAUUACGGACUGAAAACUCCACAACAGUGAGCUAAAUAAGCCUUUCCUUCCUUCAGCUUGGGUGUCAGGUAUUUUGACACAGCAAUGCGAAAAAAGUAACCAAGGCGACUUCCAAAUGUGAAAAUCUGUAGCUCUAAUGUUAACUGAAGAGGCUAUCAGCAGAGCCAUAGUCUACUGGACAUGGCAUUGUGGCAUUUUUUUUAUUGUUUUAUAUUUUCUUGUUUCUUUCUUUUAAGACAAGAUCUCCCUACAUGUGUGUUGUGCUGACCUUCAACUCAUUAUGUAGCCCAGACUGGCCUCAAACUGCAGGCAGUCCUCCUGCCUCAGCCUUCUAAGUGCUAGGAUAAGAGCUGGGCACCACCACACACAGCCCAGAACAAGUUUUAAAAGGGCCUGAAAAGAUACCCGAGAAGUUUGGUUGUUUAAUGUUUUACUAAAUCAAAAGCAAAGAGGAACAUCAGCCACGUUUCCUAGUGCCUCUGUUGCUUAGUGGUUUUGUUUUAUUUUGGUUCUGGUUUUUUCUCAUGCAGUGGGCGGGAGAAGAGGGCCUGGGGGAAGGGCUCACUUGCUUUCCUGGAACCAUACUGCCAUCACGAGGAAAGAGUUUCACAAAAGCAAAGGAAAGCUAAAAGUUGGAAUUCAAAUGUGGAAUGGCCUGACUCCAUGCCAGGCCUGGCCUUCUGGGAACUCAGGAUGAAGGAAUCUGAGAGAAGAAGCUGCUCAGUAAGUGGGGUGGGACUUGGGCAGGGCUCUGGUUUCCUGUCACUGUAAGUAUGACAGUAGGAGGCCACAGAGAGCCUGUGGAGAGCUCUUGACUUGUCUUCUGUCCCUGUCCACUGGAUAAUGAGGCAGUAGAGUAGUGCAAGGUACCCUUACACUUUAGGGGCUGAGUUCCUGUCUCAGCAGUAUUAAAAGUGCAGAGCAUGGGCUGGGUGUGGUGGCACAUGUAAAUCCCAGCACCCAGGAGGCUGAGGCAAGAAGAUCGCACUCAGUUUGAAGUCAGCCUGAGCUACACAGUGAUUUCUAGGGCAGCUUGAACUACAUAGUGAGAUCAAAUCUCAAAAUAAAAAAGGAAGGAAUUUAAAAAGUGCAGGGAUGAGGUGGUGAAUCUUAUUCCAGGUGAUGUCUAAGAACAGCUGGUGUGCUUUUUGGGAUCUCAGAUAUUCUGAAGAGCUUGGUGUCCCAUUGCCUGGAGUAAGAAGGUCCUGAGAAGUGUGUACCACUGUGUCAAGUCAGUGAAUUCCAGAACAUCAGUAAGAGACAAGAUACAUACACAGAAAGCAUAGAAGUAUUGUUCUGAGCCCAGGAAGGAGGUAACAGACAUUGGUGAGCAGUCCUUUUCCGGGGCCCAUUAUGAAGACACAGGCUCAUUGACAGGCAUCUGCUGUAAUUUCCGCUUUCAUCAGGGGACACAAAUGGGUCUCUCCCUGAGGAGGAAGAGAUUUGAGGCUUGAGACUUAACUGUUCACUCCUGAUAGCUGGUGUUGUGUUCUGUGCCUACUUCUUAACCUUUCACUGAUGAAGACUGCUUGCAGGCCCCAAACGGUAUCCUUCCUCAGGGCAUUAAGAACUCUUGCCUCUUUUAUGGUCACACUUCUGACCUAAGUUAAUCUCCGUGUAUGAUUCACUCAGAGCAAGGGCUAAGCACAUCACUGCAACAAGCACUGGUAUUAUGAUCCUUUUACUUUGAAUUCCAUUCCAUUUGAAUGCUUAUAUGAGUGUGUGUCUGUGUGAGAGAGAGAAACAGGCAGACAGACAGACAGACAGACAGAGGGCGUGGAUUUGUUGCUAAAACUUUAGACUUUCAUGUAGUGUGGCCAUCUUCAAGAGUUCUGAGGGGUUUUUCUUCCUUCUAGCAUACUUUUGCCAGGCCUUGUAUCCAAGGCCACCUCAUAUGACAUUAGAUAUCCUUCAGGUGAUUGGAUUUUAUGUAAUUUAGAAAUUUAACCUAAGACUGUUGUCUUCAUUAUAAAAAGUGACCCUUUUCAUGUCUAUGUGUAAAUAAAACUAUUCAUAAUUUUUAGAGAAAUGAAAUCUAACAGUGAAGACUACUUUAAAAUAUGAGCGGUAGAAUCUCAUGAUUUCAAAUGUAAACCUUACUUGUUACUAUUUUUCUUUUUUGGUACUAGGGAUUGAACUCAUGACCUUAUGCUUACCAAACACUUGAGCUACUGAUCUAAAUCUCCAGCCCUAGUUCAAACACUUAGACAUGUAUAAAGUGAAUACUUGAUAGCAUGACCUUAGAAAAAUUACCCCAGACAGAAAUGCUAUGGAUAGUUUUGGUAGAGGACUUGCAUUGCACAUAUUCACUCUUUAAAUAUCUAUGUAAGUCUAUGUAUUCAGUUUAAGGUAAUCAUCCCUGUUUUCUUAGACUAACCAAGUAGGAUGGGGUUUGAUCCUCAAGAUCAAACAUUUUGCUUUAAUCCCCAGUCAAUGAUGUGAAACGUCUUUCCUGAUCCCGAUGCAGUCAAUGUUAUGGAGUCUUUGCAAGGAUUUAAGAAGACUACUUGGAUAUCAAAACUAUAUGAAAUCCAAGCCAUCAGAGGAUAGGCCCUUUGUUCCUCCUAUUGACUUUCAUUGAUCAAUUAAUCUAAUUGUCACUACUGUUUUGUGUCCUAUGGCUGUGUGAUCAUUUUCAUUUUUUUUUUUUUUUGUACUGGGAUAGAACCCAGGGCAUUUUUAAAAAAAAAUUUUCUGACAGGGUCUGCUCAGUUGCCCAUGCUGGACUCAAACUCGUGAUCCCCUUCCUGGAUCUGCCUCCCAGAGUGCUGGGAUUUACAGGUGUGCCAAUAUCACAUAAGGCUUGUGAUCAGUGUUUUUUCCAGAGUUACUGGACAAAACGUGUGCACUUGUGAAUUUUUGUCUUGGCCUGUUGUAACUGAAAUAAUUUUAUAUAGUUGAUGGUCACCUUUAAUCUUCACAAGGCAUCUAGAAUCAUUAAGAUAUGCUUUGAUGUAUGUGCAUUCCUCCAGGAUAAAUAUCACUUGAGAGUUUUGUUUAUUAAUUAUUGCCUCUUGGCUCUGAACAUACUAAAUAUCCUCUAUAAUACAGUGAAAAAUUUUCCUCUGCAUGCUGAACUCUGAUGCUAUCAAAUGGGACCCAAGGACCAGCAUGCUAAAGGAGGGUACCAGACUGUCUGCCUCAAGCCCAAGGGACAGGGACAGAAGGUAAAGAGCUAAAGCCGUGCACUUGGCAAACUGCUUCCUCUAGUUUAGCCUAUGCUAGGAGGGCCCGUAAGCUCUAUCUCUGUGACUUCUCGUGCCUGGGUUUCUUGAUAAUUGCUUGCUCAGUCCUGGCUGCUCAUUGGUUAGCAUGUACAGCUAUGUCUUACCUUUGUCCAGAGCACCUAGAGAGUCUGGGGGAUGAAGCAAAGAGAAUCACAGUUGUGGUCAGGGGCUUUUUAACCUUUCCAAAGGUCCAAUCUUCAACUUUUGGUUUCUCAUACAGGAUAAACUUCAUCAGCUGACUUCCUCAUGAUAACAUUAUUGCUCCAGAAAUGUUAAACACCUCUAUUCCCAAUCCCACCCCCACUUGCUGUCUAUUUAGUCUUUAAAUGAUGAUAAAAGACUAACGCAUAGGAAACAGAUCUGCCAUGCAUUUGGCUCAGUUCAAAGAAAUUUGCUCACAUAGCGGUGAUUUUGCUUUUUGUUUCCACCCAAGAUCAAAAGAGACCUAAAUCACCCACCCUCAUGAGACAUCUCUUUUCAAGAAAUACAUUUCCUUCAGACAGGUGCUUCACAAUUCAGCAUCUUUCUACUUAAUGCUAGUUCAUAAGGAUUCCCAAUUUAUCAGGUUGUCUUCUUCAAGGGCCAAAACUCAGGAUUCUACGACUGUAUAGAAAAAGAAAAUGUUAGAAGUUCUAGGCUUGGAGGAAGCCAUCUCAAGUCAUCUAGCUUCAUGGUCCUUGAUAAGACAGGCUUCCUACCUUCCCAGAGAGUCUCUCUCCAUUUUCUAGAAGAUACUAGUCCUUUAAAAAGCUGGUACUUGGUUUAUUUUCUGAGACUCUUACAGUCUUUAUAGCUCUUACAUGUUCAUGACACAUCUUACGUGUGUACCAAAUGUCCCUCUAAGUCAAAUAAUAAUGUUCAACAAUUAUUUCUUUCAUCUGUCUAUCACUUCAAUUUGUGAGGAUCUAACUGCUGAUUCUCUCCAUUAGAACAAAUACAAGAGUCUGUUUCUAGUGAAUAUAUUAUUGGACCUUAUUAAGAUUUCAACCACAUUUUUCUCUUUAUUUGAAUUUUCAUCUUGUUUUCAGCAUCUGUUUUUUAGGAAGAAUAUUGAUUGAUUGAUUGAUUGAUUGAUUGAUUGUCUUUUUGAGACAGGGUUUCACUAUGCAGUUCAAGCUGGCUUUGAACUCAUUUUGUGGCCGAGGAUGGCCUUGAACUCUCAAUGAUUUUCCUGCCUCAGUCUCCUGAGUACUGAGAUUACACGCAUGUACCAAAACACCUGUCCUUACAUUUUAUUUUAUGUGCUUUUUUUCUAUAUGUGAUGUUGGGGAUGGAACCUAGGCCUUACCCAGGCUAGUAAAAUGAUCUCUCUAUGAGCUACAUCCCAAGUACUGUUUUAUGUACAUUUGAAAUGACAUUUUUUAUACAUAUUUACUUAGUAAUAUGUUCUUAUACAUGGUGGCAUAAUUCUGACAACAAAAAAUUGUUUACUUAGUGGGCAUGUUUAUUUUUCAUAUUAUCUGAGUUUUUAAAAAUGCGUGUAGAGUCAUAUUGAAUCUGAUUAUCUUUAGGCACAAUUAUUUUACAUGGGCUCAGCAUUAUAAAAUUUUCUAAAUUUAACUUUUUUCCUACCUACAUAGCUUUACUAUCCCCUUCUAACAGGUGACUCACGCCAUUUCAAAAUAUCCAGGUCUGGCAAGAUUAUAAAUUAAAAAGUAUCAAUUUUCCUAAUUUUAAAAAUUAUAUAAUUUAUGUAACUUUAUAAUAUUCAUUCAUAAACUAGGUUGAUAUAUGUGCCUUAUUAGGGAUGGAACCCAGGGCCUUGUACUUUCUUGACAAACACUCUAUCACUGAGCUAUGCCUCUAGUUCUCUUUUAUUUCGACAUAGGAUCUUGUUAAAUUGCACAUUGGCCUUCAAUUUGUGAUCUACUGCGAUCUCUGAGUGGCUGGAGUUACAGGUAUGCCCCAUAUACAUGUAAAGUCAGCCCACUUAGCUUUUUUUGUGGCACUUGGUAAAGAAUCCAAGAUCUCAUGCAUAUUAGGAAAGCACUCUAGCGCUGAGUUGUAUACCCAGUCCUCAACAUGUCUUUUUAUUUUAUUACUUUUCACAUAUUAUAUAGAAAUCUUUAUUCUUCAAGUGUUUCCAGAUACUGAAAAAAUAAUUUCAUUUACUAUUUAUGAAAUACCCAUGUAAUUCCUAAAUAUGAUGAAAUCUAAUAUGACUUAAAAAUCUUACUUCAUUCAUACAUAACGAAAACAACAAAGUUUUAUGGAAGCAGAGACAUACUAUCUUCUCUCAUUUUCUGUUAUACAGUUUCAACAGUUUCCUAACAUGCAUUUUUGUAGUCAACCCUCCAUAUAGUCUCAUCAGUAUUUGAAGACAAUAUAUUAGUCUGCUCAAACUUCUAUUGAAAGAAUCACAGACCAGGUGGCUUAAGCAAUAGAUUAUUUUCUUCCAGUUCCAGAGGCUGAAAGUCCAAAAUCAAAGUGCCUACAAGUUUGGUUUUUGGUGAGGCCUGUGUUCUGGGUUUGCAGAUGGCACCUUCUUACUGUGUCCUGAGUGUGGCCUGUCCUCUAUGCACAUGCAAAUGGAGGAAGAGAGAGCAAGCUCUUGGUCUCUCCCUCUUCUUAUUGGAAGACAGUCCUGCAAGGUGAGGGGCCCACUGAUGAUCUCAUUUAACCUAAACCCUUCAGCAGUGUGACUGAUACAAGUCAUAUAAACUCUGCUUACCUAUUCUUAGAGGGCUACCUGACCAUGACCUCUGAAGGCUUGACUACCUCUUUAAAGGGCCUAUCUGCAAAUACCGUCACACUGGGGUUAGGGCUUCACUAGACAAAUUUUGUGGGCAUGCAGUUCAUUCCAUAAGUGAUACUAAUUUUUCUGUGAAAAAUAUUAUAACUGGUAUUAGUAAGCUCUCCUAAUGAAAAAUGUGCUAAAUAAAAAUAUAAAAUGCUUAUCUAAGAUCAGUUUGCAGAUUAAGUUCUUUUAGCAUUUUGGUAUGCCUAAGUUUUCAUCCAUUUAAAAAGAAUUCUAGUCAUCCAUUACCAUCUGUCAUGACCAGUUUGUCUUUGUGCUCACCUCAGUACACUUGUUUGUUUUGAGAAAGGGUCCUGACCAUGAACUCACUUUGUAGCCCAGGCUAGCCAUGAAUUUAUGGCAAUUCUCUUGCCUCAACCUCCAUGGUGCUCAGAUCACAGGCCUAUGCCACCAUGCCUGACUGACUACAUACACUUUCUACAAGGCUCAACAUGGAGAUCCUAACAUACAUACAUACUCCCUGUCAAAAACAUACUGUUUUGUAUAUUUCCUUUUCCAACUAUUUCACCACCCUGAAUUCACAGGCCUGCAGUUUAGUAUUUUAUUUGCCUCCACAGGCCAGUGUUCCUCAACUGUUGUCCUAUAUUAUCAUUUGGUAGGUAAAUCAGAUUUCCUAUUUCUGUCUACUUUACUAUAGAGAUCUUAAUCAGUUUGGGCUGUCAUAACAAAACAGCAUGCACUAGGUUUCUCUCAAAGCACAGAAAUGUGUUUCUCACCUUUCUAGAGGUUGAAAAGACCUAAAACAAGGUGCUGGGCAAUUCAGUUCCUGUUAAGGGCCUGGUUUUCAGAUAGGGAAGGUUCUAGUAUUCUCACAUGAUAGAUCUCUCUGUCUCUGUCUCUCUCUCUUUUUGAGAUAGGGUUUUACUAUGUAGUUCAGGUUGGCCUUGAACUCACUUUGUAGCCCUGGCUGGCUUUGAACUUGCAGCAAUCCUCCUGAGUGCUGGGAUUACAGGUGCAUGCCACCAUGACCGGCCCCUUUGUCUCUUUAUAAGGACAAAUAUCACAUUACAGAGAUAUCAUAUUUAUCUAAACCUUUCCAAAUCCCACCACGUCAGGGCUUAGGACUUCAGCAUAUGACUUUUUGAGAGCAGGGAGCACAAACCUCAGUUUCUAGUACUAGGCUCUCUCCCCUCACCCCAUGCAUUGAAACCAAUUAUUACAUGCUGGACAGGCUUAAUAGCCUAAUCAAUAUACAUGUAUCAUCUCAGUCUCUGUGAGUCAGAAGUCUGCACAGUUCAGCUAGGUGCUUGACUCAAGGCUACAGGGAAGGUGUUGGCCCAGCCUGGGACUUAUCUGAGGCGCAAGGUCCUCUUCUAAACUCACAUGGUGGUUGGCAAAAUUCAUUUCCUGGUAGCUUUACAAUUCACAAGGCCAGCAAGACAGAAUCUCUGACCUCCAAGAACUUGUAAGGAGCUCUCUUGAUUAAAUCAGGUCCACGAGGGCACUCUUCCUUUGGAUAUAAAUUCAGUCACCUCAUUGAAGGAUUUUAAUUACAUCUGCAAAAGUUCAUCACUUUGGCCCGUUGAUACUGAAUCACAUCACACUUACAGGUACAACCUAUACCUAACUGUAGGGGAUUAUAUAGGAAAAGGGAGCCAACAGAAUCAUCUUAGAGCUCUGUCUACAAGUAUGUGAUGGUUUUUGGUGGUAAUGGUGACUGAUUAGACACAGGGCUUUCACAUGAGCUAAAUCUCCUGGCCUUUUCAUGUUUUUAAAUUUUUUUUGUCUUUUUCAUUUUUAUCGGUACCAAGGAUCGAACUCAUGACUGCCUGCUUGCAAGGCAGGUGCUUAUGCCGCUGAGCUAAAUCCCCAGCCCCAAUGUUUUUUAAUUUUGAGACAGGGUCUUCGCUAAGUCACUCCUGACUAGCCCAGGCUGGGCUCAACACUUGCCAUCCUCCCACCUCAGCCUUCCAGAGUGCAGAGAUUACAGUGCAGAGAUUACAUCACAUCCAGCUUUUUAAAUUUAAAAACAAAUUUCCAUGUAGGAUCUCACCAAGUCACUAAAUUUCCCAGACUGGGCUCGAACUUGUGAUCUUCCUGCUUCAGCCUCCCGCAGUGCUGAGACUGCAGGCAUGAGACUCCCUGCUCAGCAAGUAUCUAGGCUUAAAAAAAAGAUUUAAGCUACAACAUCUAUGAACAUAUGUUAAAGAGUUAGUUGCACAAUCCUUUACAAAUAUUAUGCCAUCUUUAUCUUUUCUCCCUUCCAAGAUUAAAACUUUUUCAACACUCUAAGCUGGUUUUUUUGUUGUUUGGUGACACAAAGGAUUGAAUCGACAGCCUUCACAUUGUAUUAUAUCCUCAGACCUUUUUUAAGUUUUCAGAUAGGAUCUCACAAAGUCAUUAAAAUACUAAGGCUGAGCUUCCCAAAGUACCAUUAUUAUAGGAACAUAAACCAGACCUGGAAAAUUUGCUAGCAAAAUCUUUAUUAAUUUAUAUCCCUAAAUAGAAGCUCCUAUUGUCCAUUUUAAAGAGUCAUUCAAUUUAUAAGUGUUUCUGUAAUUCAUAAUUUAUAGACUUUUGCUUCUGGGGGGUUAGGAUUUUAUAUGUUCUUCCCCCUCACUCCCCUCUAUUACUGCUUUACUAGUUUAUAAUUUUUCUCUUUCAUUCUCUAAGUUUUUGUUUGUGUCAAUAUCCAGUGAAUAAAAUGCUAUGACUUUGUAAACAUCAUUUUAGAUGAUUCAUGUUUAAAUACAAACGUGUAUAUGUACCUACUCCCCAAAAAUGAAUAUUAUGUAUCCCAGCUAUAUAUUAAUUAAAAAUCAUUAAAUAAAAA